rnacentral:rRNA from 1 species
UAGGGAAUCUUCCACAAUGGACGCAAGUCUGAUGGAGCAACGCCGCGUGAGUGAAGAAGGUUUUCGGAUCGUAAAGCUCUGUUGUUGGUGAAGAAGGAUAGAGGCAGUAACUGGUCUUUAUUUGACGGUAAUCAACCAGAAAGUCACGGCUAACUACGUGCCAGCAACCGCGGUAAUACGUAGGUGGCAAGCGUUGUCCGGAUUUAUUGGGCGUAAAGCGAGCGCAGGCGGAAGGAUAAGUCUGAUGUGAAAGCCCACGGCUCAACCGUGGAACUGCAUCGGAAACUGUCAUUCUUGAGUGCAGAAGAGGAGAGUGGAAUUCCAUGUGUAGCGGUGGAAUGCGUAGAUAUAUGGAAGAACACCAGUGGCGAAGGCGGCUCUCUGGUCUGCAACUGACGCUGAGGCUCGAAAGCAUGGGUAGCGAACAGG